rnacentral:rRNA from 1 species
ACGAACGCUGGCGGCGUGCUUAACACAUGCAAGUCGAACGGUGAAGCGCCUUCCUUUUUGGUGGGUGUGGAUGAGUGGCGAACGGGUGAGUAACACGUGAGUAACCUGCCCCCUUCUUCUGGAUAACCGCAUGAAAGUGUGGCUAAUACGGGAUAUUCUGGGUCUGUCGCAUGAUGGGUCUGGGAAAGAUAUUGUUUCGGUGGGGGAUGGGCUCGCGGCCUAUCAGCUUGUUGGUGGGGUGAUGGCCUACCAAGGCGGUGACGGGUAGCCGGCCUGAGAGGGUGGACGGUCACACUGGGAGUGAGACACGGCCCAGACUCCUACGGGAGGCAGCAGUGGGGAAUAUUGCACAAUGGGCGCAAGCCUGAUGCAGCGACGCCGCGUGAGGGAUGGAGGCCUUCGGGUUGUGAACCUCUUUCGCCAGUGAAGCAGGCCUGCCUCGUUUGUGGGUGGGUUGACGGUAGCUGGAGAAGAAGCGCCGGCUAACUACGUG